CUCAGUGAUCCACAGCUGCCCCACACCUCUGCAGACAACCCCCAACACCAGCAGAUCCAGAAUUUCAUCCCGAUCUUCAUUGUUGCAACAUAAGAAAAUAUCCCUUCUUGGGGAAAAAGUGCCUAGUACACAGUGAGAAGAAAAAAUACU